GACGAACGCUGGCGGCGUGCUUAACACAUGCAAGUCGAACGGAAAGGCCCCUUUGGGGGUACUCGAGUGGCGAACGGGUGAGUAACACGUGAGUAACCUGCCCUUGACUUCGGGAUAACUUCAGGAAACUGGGGCUAAUACCGGAUAGGAAUCCUUGCUGCAUGGUGGGGGUUGGAAAGCUUCGGCGGAUUUGGAUGGACUCGCGGCUUAUCAGCUUGUUGGUGGGGUAGUGGCUUACCAAGGCUUUGACGGGUAGCCGGCCUGAGGGGGCGACCGGCCACAUUGGGACUGAGAUACGGCCCAGACUCCUACGGGAGGCAGCAGUGGGGAAUAUUGCACAAUGGGCGGAAGCCUGAUGCAGCAACGCCGCGUGCGGGAUGACGGCCUUCGGGUUGUAAACCGCUUUCAGCAGGGGCGAAGCUUGUGGUGACGGUACCUGCAGAAGAAGCACCGGCUAACUACGUG
rnacentral:rRNA from 1 species